AGCAGCCGCGGUAAUUCCAGCUCCAAUAGCGUAUAUUAAAGUUGUUGCAGUUAAAAAGCUCGUAGUUGAAUUUCGGGGUUAGUAGGUUGGUCAUGCCUCUGGUAUGUACUGGUCUCACUGAUUCCUCCUUCCUGAUGAGCCGUAAUGCCAUUAAUUUGGUGUUGCGGGGAAUUUGGACUGUUACUUUGAAAAAAUUAGAGUGUUUAAAGCAAGCUGACGCUUGAAUACAUUAGCAUGGAAUAAUGAAAUAGGACGUUCGAUCCUAUUUUGUUGGUUUCUAGGAUUGACGUAAUGAUUAAUAGGGAUAGUUGGGGGCAUUAGUAUUCAAUUGUCAGAGGUGAAAUUCUUGGAUUUAUUGAAGACUAACUACUGCGAAAGCAUUUGCCAAGGAUGUUUUCAUUAAUCAAGAACGAAAGUUAGGGGAUCGAAGACGAUCAGAUACCGUCGUAGUCUUAACCAUAAACUAUGCCGACUAGGGAUCGGAUGAUGUUAAUUUUUUAAUGACUC
rnacentral:rRNA from 1 species